rnacentral:rRNA from 1 species
AUGCCUAAUGAUAAAGCGCCCGGGCUGGAUGGCUUCACAUGCAUUUUUCUUAAAAAGUGUUGGGGUGUCAUCAAGCAUGCCGUCAUGAGGGUCAUUCAACGCUUAGCUUCUUUUCGCACCUCCGACCUCCAGUGGCUCAACUCUGCCAAUGUAGUUCUCUUGCCCAAAAAGGAAGGGGCGGAAGGCAUCUCUGACUACAGUCCUAUUAGCGUCAUCCACGCCAUUGCUAAAAUCAUUGCCAAGGUCCUCUCGUUGCGACUAGCCCCCCACAUGGAUGGCCUAGUCUCCAACGCUCAAAGUGCAUUUAUUAAGCGGGAUAGCAUUCAUGACAACUUCAUGUAUGUUUGA